UAUCGGGGUCUGGCAGCAGCAGCCUGGAGGGCGGAGACCUGCAGUUGCCCACAGCAUCCUCAGGUGAGGGCUAUGGCAGGGGGUGGAGGCAAGUGGAUGAUGUUGCAGAGUCUGUUUACUCCAGAAGAUGGCUCCAGGGAGCUGCAGGGCUUUAGGAUCUAGGGAGGACAAAGGCAGAUUGGGAAGAAGCAGAGGUUCCCGGGAAGCAGACGGGAGGUAUGGUCUACAACAUGAGGGCCCCCCCGCAUCAAACUCCACAUUCUUGGGCAACUUCCACAAUGCUCACGAGGCUCAGGCUCGCACCCAACCCAGACCCACAGAUGCCUUUGACACCCUCUGCCCCUCCUAGGAAGGGACCAGUGCUCCCCUGUUU
rnacentral:lncRNA from 1 species